ACGAUUCCUUGUCUCAGACUAAGCCAUGCACGUCUAAGUAUGAAUGAUAUACAGUGAAACUGCGAAUGGCUCAUUAAAACAGUUAUAGUUUAUUUGAUAAUCAAAUUUACAUGGAUAACCGUGGUAAUUCUAGAGCUAAUACAUGCUGUCAAGCUCGACUUUUAGGAAGGGCUGUAUUUAUUAGAUAACAAACCAAUAUUCCUCGUGUCUAUUGUGACGACUCAUAAUAACUGAUCGAAUCGCAUGGACUUUGUCCGCGAUACAUCAUUCAAGUUUCUGCCCCAUCAGCUUUCGAUGGUAGUGUAUUGGACUACCAUGGCUUUAACGGGUAACGGAGGAUUAGGGUUCGAUUCCGGAGAGGGAGCCUGAGAAACGGCUACCACAUCUAAGGAAGGCAGCAGGCGCGUAAAUUACCCAAUCCUAAUUCAGGGAGGUAGUGACAAGAAAUAAAGAACUGAGGCCUAUGCUUCAGGAUCUCAAUGAGUAGAAUUUAAACCCCUUUACGAGGAUCAAUUGGAGGGCAAGUCUGGUGCCAGCAGCCGCGGUAAUUCCAGCUCCAAUAGCGUAUAUUAAAGUUGUUGCAGUUAAAAAGCUCGUAGUUGAAUUUCUGGGAGAGUGCCAAUGUCCGCCGCGUGCGUGUGCAGCGGCGCUCUUCCAUCCUUCUGUUAACGUUUCUGGUAUUGACUUACUGGUUGCGGGCUCAGAUAUUUUACCUUGAGAAAAUUAGAGUGUUUCAGGCAGGCUUGCGCCCGAAUACAUUAGCAUGGAAUAAUAGAAUAGGACUGUGGUCUCCUUUGUUGGUUUGAGGGACUAUAGUAAUGAUUAAUAGGGACAGUUGGGGGCAUUAGUAUUUAAUUGUCAGAGGUGAAAUUCUCGGAUUUGUUAAAGACUAACUUAUGCGAAAGCAUUUGCCAAGGAUGUUUUCAUUAAUCAAGAACGAAAGUUAGGGGAUCAAAGACGAUCAGAUACCGUCGUAGUCUUAACCAUAAACUAUGCCGACUAGGGAUCGGAGGCGCGUUCUAUCCGCCUUCGGCACCUUAUGAGAAAUCAAAGUCUUUGGUUCUGGGGGGGAGUAUGGUCGCAGCCUGAAACUUAAGGAAUUGACGAAGGGCACCACCAGGAGUGGAGCUUGCGCUCAUUGACCUCACCGGGAAAACUACAGUCGAACUUAAGGAUGACGGAUGAUAGGCCUUUCCUGAAUCAUGAUGUGGGUCAUGCCCGUUCUAAUUGAUGGAGUAAUUGUUUCUGGCUUAAUUCCGUUAACGAACGAGACCUUAGCCUGCUAACUAGUCACAUACAACCUUUGUUGUUGCUGACUUCUUAGAGGGACUUUGUGAAUCAAACACAAGGAAGUUUGAGGCAAUAACAGGUCUGUGAUGCCCUUAGAUGUCCUGGGCCGCACGCGUGCUACACUGACGCAUACAGCGAGUACUUCCCAGCUCCGAGAGGCUGCUGGUAAUCAGCAAUAUGCGUCGUGCUGGGGAUAGAUCUUUGGAAUUAUAGAUCUUGAACGAGGAAUUCCUAGUAAGCGCAGGUCAACAGCCUGCGCUGAUUAAGUCCCUGCCCUUUGUACACACCGCCCGUCGCUCCUACCGAUUUCGAGUGAUCCGGUGAACCAUUUGGACCGCGAGGAGUCUCGUGCUUCUUGUGGGAAAUCUAGUAAACCAUAUCACUAGAGGAAGGAGAAGUCUAACAAAGGCCCCC
rnacentral:rRNA from 1 species